rnacentral:rRNA from 1 species
UACGUAGGGGGCAAGCGUUGUUCGGAAUUACUGGGCGUAAAGGGAGCGUAGGCGGAAGGGUAAGUUGGGAGUGAAAUCCAUAGGCGCAACCUGUGGGUUGCUUCCAAUACUGCUUUUCUUGAGUAUGGGAGAGGAUGAUGGAAUUCCAGGUGUAGCGGUGGAAUGCGUAGAUAUCUGGAAGAACACCAGUUGCGAAGGCGGUCAUCUGGCCCAAUACUGACGCUGAGGCUCGAAAGCUAGGGGAG